AACGAACGCUGGCGGCAUGCCUAACACAUGCAAGUCGAACGAGACCUUCGGGUCUAGUGGCGCACGGGUGCGUAACGCGUGGGAACCUGCCCUUAUGUUCGGAAUAACUCUCCGAAGGGGGUGCUAAUACCGGAUAAUGUCUUCGGACCAAAGAUUUAUCGCAGUUGGAUGGGCGCGCGUUGGAUUAGCUUGUUGGGAGGGUAAAAGCCUACGAAGGCGAGGAUCCAUAGCUGGGCUGAGAGGAUGAUCCGCGACACUGGGAGUGGGACACGGCCCGGACUCUUACGGGAGGGAGCAGUGGGUGAUAUUGGAAAAUGGGCGGAAGGCUGAUCCAGCAAUGCCGGGUGAGUGAUGAAGGUCUGAGGGUUGUAAAGCUCUUUUACCCGGGAUGGUAAUGACAGUACCGGGAGAAUAAGCUCCGGCUAACUCCGUG
rnacentral:rRNA from 1 species